CGGAGAACUGAAACAUCUAAGUACCCGGAGGAAGAGAAAACAAUAGUGAUUCCGCAAGUAGUGGCGAGCGAACGCGGAACAGCCCAAACCUUGAUCGUUACGGCGGUCGAGGGGUUGUAGGACUGCAACGUGGACUAUGCAAUGAAUUAGAAUGACUUGGGAAAGUCAACCAUAGAAGGUGAAAGUCCUGUAUAAGUAAAGUUGUAUUACCUAGCAGUAUCCUGAGUAGGGCGGGACCGGAGAAAUCCCGUCUGAAUCCACCGGCACCAUCCGGUAAGGCUAAAUACUCCUGAGAGACCGAUAGUGAACUAGUACCGUGAGGGAAAGGUGAAAAGUACCCUGAAUAAGGGAGUGAAAUAGUACCUGAAACCGUGUGCUUACAAGCGGUCGGAGCUGCAUUUAUGUAGUGACGGCGUGCCUUUUGUAUAAUGAGCCUACGAGUUGCUCCU
rnacentral:rRNA from 17 species